rnacentral:rRNA from 1 species
CGGACGGGUGAGUAACGCGUGGGCAACCUGCCUCGCACUGGGGGAUAACACUUAGAAAUAGGUGCUAACACCGCAUAGCGGGCGGGGGCGCAUGCCCCUGCCCUGAAAACCCAGGUGGUGCGAGAUGGGCCCGCGUCUGAUUAGCUGGUUGGCAGGGUAACGGCCUACCAAGGCGACGAUCAGUAGCCGGCCUGAGAGGGUGGACGGCCACAUUGGGACUGAGACACGGCCCAGACUCCUACGGGAGGCAGCAG